AACCGCAAAAAAAAAAAACACUCCUGCCGAUCCCUCGAGGGCACAGGACGAUCCUCUCGAUCCACGAUGCGACCUCUCCCUCUGCUCGCGCUCCGGCACCGCCCCCAUCUCCCACUCCGGCGCCGCCCCUACAGCUCCGCUGGCCCGACCCCUUCUUCGGGCGCGUCGGCAGGAGCAGAUCCACCUCUCCACUCCAUAUCGCGACAGCGCUCCAGACCCCCCACCCCCACGCCCGGCCGCUGCUAGGGUAUCUUACCCUCGCUGCCCCGCCGCAACCUCUCCUUGCUUUCCUCCACCCCCGCCCCACUGUUCGCCCUCUCAUGUUUCGAUCUGGAAAGCGGGAGAGGAUGAGCUGAUCUCAAAAUACGGGUGCCGAGAUGGAUUUGGAUCUCAAGGUGGGGAGGCCAACGUAGCCGCCCCUAGCGCGUCGAGCUCUGCAGGUACUCCUGGUGUGCGUGGGUAGGAAGGUACCUGCAGUAGAUGGCCUUCUUCAUUGUUUGCCCCCUGUCUGCCUCCCUGCACCGAGAUCCAUCUGCUCCGGGCCAUGACUGAGAACCAGCGAUGCUGCCAAGUAAUUUCUAAAACACCUGGUCCAGAUUGAUUUGUCGAGGGUUAAAUUUCUCUGAUUAUUCAAAGGAGCGCAGGGGCAUCAUGUAUCAGUGAGAAACUUCAGCGAGGAGCACGCAGUGCAGGAUGCAGACGUCGCAAUUGCACAUGGUUCAUGUAUUGCUAGAUCGACAACAAGUCCCUCCCGUCAGCCUACCUUUACGACAUUACAAGGAGUCAAGUUGAACCUGAUGUAUUAGUGAUGACAUUGCAAUCCAGAACCUAGAUCGCCACUUUUGAACCUAACAUUGAUCAGGCUUGAAUUUGCCAUGGCUGUAAAUCGCCACUCUGGAACUUCAAUUUUGAGGAGUUAUUUUUCUGCACCCACACCUUGAGGCUGUUGUUCGUCCGCCUCUUGACUUCGUAGUGACCAGCAUUCAUUCUACAGGUGAACGGACUUCAAUUCAAGGAGUUAUUUUUCUGUGCCCAGCAAGUGCCAGCUUCAUUCAAUUUGAGUAAGUAGGAGUGGAGAUCAAAGGGUUGUGCGGUCCGUCGAGGGUCGUAGGGGAGAAAUAUUGGAGCCCCCUGCUGUACCGCGUUGCUGCCGCACCGGGAGGGCGUGAAGAUAAAGUUUCAGGGCCGCAGCUGGAGAGAGUGGCGACGCCCAAAUAAUCACGUGUUGAAUGCUAAAUGUAACACUUCAUUUUUUAUGUUCAUAUAACCAACCAAUGCAAAUUGAGAUGGACUUCUUGAACUAUGUACUCCUGAUGAUUUUUCAUUGCUAUGUUUCCCAGUUGAGUUUUGGACCCUUGUGAUUUUAUUUUUCUUUCAGCUAGGCGCCUACAGAUCAACAACAUGCAUGCAUCCGCAGCUACAUUACAUUUGUAAUUUUCAGGGAGAUCUUCUUUUUUCAUUAAUUCUCAUGGAGAUCAAAUUAUGUGAUAUUGUGCUAUUGGCAGAGACAUUGCAAUCUUAUAUUUGCCCAAAAAUUAGCAAGGUGCGUUCUCUAUUCCCCUCUAUUUUUCAAGUUAAUGCCUAAUAUCCCACCACUUUACAUUUUCUAUCUGCUGAAUCAUUCAUCUGCUCAAUCAAGAAGCACCUUCCUGUUAUUUUGGGCAAUCUGAAUCGGCCAUCUGUCUAUUAUGGCUGCACAUUAAUGUUUGCUACAUAUGUUAUAUGUAGAUUGGUUUACAUGAAUACAGAGUAGCACUACAUGUAUAUUGAUGGAGAAACUAUUGUUCAGCUAUGCAUUUGAAGUGUAGGCUAUUAUUCUCAUAUUUUUGGCUUCGAUUCUCAAGUGCGAGGAUUACUUCUCUACUAAUGAUAUUUGGUCGUUUGUCCAAGUUUAAAUGUGUAGGCUACAAUAUGUAUGUUUUGCCAUUGUAAAAGUUAUCUGUCACAAAAAACUAAAAACACAUGGUUUCUUAGUUGCCAGUCUAUAUCUCAAAUGCUUUUUGAUUUUUACGUUUUGAUAAAUGCAUUGUCGACGAUAAUUAUUCUUUCUAAGUAACCUCCUUAAUUUUUAAGCUAACAAGGCAGAAAAUGUCUACUGUUCAGGAUAAACCAGAAAUUGCGACAAAGAGUUGGUAAGUGCUUUCACAACUGCUACAGUUCUGAACCAAUGUUGUGUUCUACAGUAUUAUAUUCUUGGAAAAGAAUUCCGUCAUUUAUUUAUUUCUUUGUUAUUGAUGUAAUGUUCAACUGAUUAUAGAAAUGGUUUUUUUAUGUUGACUACAAUCAUGAAUGAAGGAAAAUGUUUAUGAUAAUGUACUGCAAAUUGGCUUCUUGCUUGAUCAUCCUAACCAAGAAGACUUUGAUAGCGCCAUUGGCUUUUUAUAUGUGCCAAUAAAAUUAGCAGGCCGAUGCAGCUCCGGGCUAUUGAUAAUGGAGUUUCAGGAUCCUUCCUCUGAGCACCCACUCACGGAAGAAUCAGCAGCGCGCCACGCAGAUGGAACCUGACCGAGAUCACGGGAUGCUUCCUUACAGGGCUCACCAAGAUUGAUAUUCUGAACUUUUUUGUAAACAAAGUGAAGAGUGGGACAUGAUCUACACUUGUGCUAAUAUAAAAUAUACAGUACUUGUGUAGGUGCAGGUUUUGUUUUAACAUUCCAAUUGUUGUUUAUCCUUUUGUCGCUGAAAAUUCUUUACUAAUGAUGACAUUCAUUUUAUUUCUUCUAGAUGUAUCUCGAUCCACUAUGUCCAAUCGUAAGGUGAAAAUGGCGGCACAACAGCCCGGAGGAGACGGCGGUGAGCCCCCCUCCUCCAACUGAGCAAUCCACCAGGCGGCGGCACGAACGACCUUCAUCUCUAGAUGCUUCCCUGCACACCAAUGAGAUUCACGCCGAUAAUCUUGACUCCUGACCAAUGUCCUUCAGGCCUGAAGUCCCUGUAGUACCCAAGGUCGAGUGAUCACUGCUGCGCCUCGCUGUGUCCUGACUCCUGACUGAUGUCCUUCAGCCUCCGGUAGCUCAUUCACUUUUAGUGUUCCAUCUCCUUCUGUCAAGGUUUAAUGUUCUUGUACUAUUUUUCUGAGACAUGGUCACAGUUUCUUUUUGCAUAAUUUUUUUAAAGAAAUCAAAAAUAUUGUUAUGUAAUGUUUAGUAUCUCUUUGUACCUCUGAUUUAUGCACCAAACUAGAGGGGACCAUGAAGGCAUGGAUGUUCAAUAUUUUUUCCAAUAAUAUAUGGUGAAAAACAAUUUGAUUUUCGUAUACUUGUGUCUUUCAUGUUCACUUGGUCCAUUAGUUUAUUUUUUCUUGAACUUCUAUUUGGAAGGACGCAAAUUGAUCAGAUGUAACCAUCUCCACAUCUCAGUGCCAGACUAUUGUUACAUUGGCACAUAUUAUUCUGAUAUGUAAUAUUCUGAAUAAUAAUUUGAUUAUGUCCAAGUGAACAGUAGAAGAAUUAUCUGUCAGUGCAUAGAGUAUUUUCGACUUUCACCAUCGAGUCUUUGUAGGUAAGUUGUAUUUGUUUAAUCUACUGACACCUGCAUAUUUGAUAUGAAAUGCAGUAAGGGCCACAACUAAUUGAUGUUCUCAUAAUGCUAUCAUAAUGGUAUGCUUUCUCAUCUGUACUGGUAAUUGUUCAGACAUAAAUGCAUUAUGGUCAUGGGAGAACAAUACUCGUAUGAAUUGAUUACCCUCCUGGUGAGUAAUAUUUUAUUCUAAGUAUUCAGUUGCCUGCAAAAUAAUUCUGUAAUAGACAUCUAACUGCAUGUUGUUGUGUGACCUGCAUCUAAACUGAGAACAGAAACAACAAACUGCUUGAAACUCGGCGUCUUUAUAUUUGCCCUCAUUUGUUGAGGUUCAGUUUCACAAAUUAGACACACUAUGGACCUGGUAGCGUUUUUCUUUUAGUUUAGGCAUCCAUACAACCUGGAGAAACUGCGUCAUUUGAGCACAAGAACAUCUAAGGUCUAAACAGAUGUACUGUUGAUUCUGCUACAUUCAGCAACCUGAUGAACGCCUCAAGGUAAUGAAUGUUUUUUAGGAGCCAUCUUGUUUCUUUAUUUUGGUUAUUUGACUGAUGCUAGACCUUGGUCACUUGAUGACAAACACACACACAUGCACACACGCACACGCGCGCAGUACUUGUAGGCGAGUUCAGCAUGACAUUCCUGAUCAUAUGUUGGUUUGUGCAUUUCGUUAUUAGUUAGACUACCAUAUCCCAAGUGUAUAUUUGUAAUUGCCGAAACAAGUAUAGAAAUGCUCUGCGUCAGCAUCCAAAAGGAGUUUUACAGUCUAUUACAUUUGCCACUCAGAAAAACUAAAAAAUUUCACUACAAGACCGUCCAAUAUUUUUGAAUUAGUGACUGUAAGUAAACAUUUGGGCUGAUGUUGUUAUUUAUAUAAGUAUGACCAAGUUAUUCAUCUUGGCCCCUGGAACAAUUGAACCAAGAACAAGAACCUUACGAAGUUGUUAUUAUUAUGCUACACGAGUACAAUAUUUCUUUAGCUUAUACUAUACUGUUGUGACAAUUUUUUGACUCCCAUUGCAACGGACGGUUAUCCUUAUAUAUUUUCACAAUCUUCAGAUUUGGAGGGUGAGAUGCUACAGCAGUACAGCUUCAAGCUAUCUUGCUUCUUUGUGAGGGAACCAAUCAACUAACCGAAUGAAACAAUUUCAGCAUUCCAUUUCUUUAGGACAAUUGCAGGAAGGAAGUCUAAAAUUGAUGCACCAGAGCAGCUUGAUGCUUUUCCUAAUCUUGAUGUACCUAUCCCUUUCUUUAGGACAAUUACAGCAAGAAAGUAGGAGGAAGAAGAAAUGCAGGCGACCUCAUGAAAGCCAAUAACAAAGAUCCACAGAAGUGAGAGGAGGAUUGCAAGUACUACUUUGUAACAGUUCCAAAGAACUGACCGUGCUCUGAAUUUAAGCCUAUCUAAAGCAAAAAAUGAAUGUUAGAUCUCCUGUAACAUGGUGAGGGCACUCAAGUCCUGAGCUUGCUACGUAAAAUUAUUUGCCACUUAUAUUUUGGAUUUAAAAGUGUGAAGUAUACAUAUACUAUUUUCAAUAUCUGACUCUUUUUAUAUAUCUAAUGGAAAUUAAGUGAUGGCAUGGUAUGCAGACAUGAACUAGGGUCAUUGCUCUGUUCCUAAGAUACAAUGGGUUGUUUAUUCAUUCAAAUUGCAUCUACCAGUGAUGGUUCCAGUUUUUGUGUCCCAUCUCCUUUUGGAGGCCUACUUCAUAUUCUAAUUUGAAUACUGUCCAUUCAUGCUUUUAGGAAGCGGAUGAAAUGCUAAGAUGGUUUAAAUAUUGAACUGAGAAAAUAUAGGUUUGAGAUUCUUUUUGCUGAAAUAUAUUUGCAAUGUAGAAGGAUUCAUUAAAUAAAUACCUAAUUAGAAUAUGCAGGGUUUACAUAUAUUUUGCAAAUCGGAGGACACUCUCUCUGCCUUUAGAUGUAGGGUUAUUAGGUUAAUUUUCUUGCAAGGAAAAAUAUGAUCUUCAACGCAGGAAGGCAUGGAUUCAGUGGCAAAAACUUCGAUUAGGAUGUGGCCCUCUAGGUAGGAAGGCAUGGUUCAACGGCAAAAAAUUUGGUCGGGAUGCAGCUCUUUAGGCAAGAUGGCAUAGAUCCACAGCAAGAACAUCAAUCAAGCAAGAACAUCAAUCAGGAUGGAUUCAACCAGUGUGCUAGAUCGUUGGAUGACAUAAUACAGUUAUGAUGUGGGUCGAAGGUGGUACUCUAGCUCCAACCAAACUCCGGCUCAUCCGACCUCCAGUUUAGGUUCACUAUUCAUCAAUUUUAGUGCUACGUAUUCCUAUUUGGAUUAUACUUGGUGCAUAAAAUUAAUGAAUCAGGAAAUUAUUUUUUUUUGUUUGAUAGGGCCUUAGUCUAUUUGUAAUCAGAUAUAACCAUCUGAUCCAUGAUUGUUCUUGGGCAUCAUAUUUCAAAAUAUUCUUUUUUUUGGAUUUUGUAAAGGUUGUAGAUAACAAGCCGGUGGGAGCUAAUGGUUCAGUUAGACCCUGCAUUUUCUUGACUUUUUUCCUGUCAGGUAAAUAAAUUACCAUGGUACUUUUCUAAUGCGAUUUGUAAAGUUUUGCCAAUCCGGUGAGCAUAUGAGACUGGAAUAUUGGGUCCACUCU